rnacentral:rRNA from 1 species
AUUGAACGCUGGCGGCAGGCCUAACACAUGCAAGUCGAGCGCGCGGCGGACGGGUGAGUAAUGUAUGGGGACUGCCCGAUCGAGGGGCAUAACUACUGGAUACGGUAGCUAAUACCGCAUACUAUCGGCUACCCCAUAUGGGAUUAGCUAGUAGGUGAGUUAAUGGCUCACCUAGGCGACGAUACCUAGCUGGUCUGAGAGGAUGAUCAGCCACACUGGGACUGAGACACGGCCCAGACUCCUACGGAGGCAGCAGUGGGGAAUAUUGCACAAUGGGCGCAAGCCUGAUGCAGCCAUGCCGCGUGUAUGAAGAAGGCCCUAGGGUUGUAAAGUACUUUGAGUCGGGAGGCGUUACCGACAGAAGAAGCACCGGCUAACUCCGUGCCAGCAGCCGCGGUAAUUC